rnacentral:rRNA from 1 species
AGCGAACGCUGGCGGCAGGCCUAACACAUGCAAGUCGAACGGAUCCUUCGGGAUUAGUGGCGGACGGGUGAGUAACACGUGGGAACGUGCCCUUUGGUUCGGAACAACUCAGGGAAACUUGAGCUAAUACCGGAUGUGCCCUUCGGGGGAAAGAUUUAUCGCCAUUGGAGCGGCCCGCGUCUGAUUAGCUAGUUGGUGAGGUAACGGCCCACCAAGGCGACGAUCAGUAGCUGGUCUGAGAGGAUGAUCAGCCACACUGGGACUGAGACACGGCCCAGACUCCUACGGGAGGCAGCAGUGGGGAAUCUUGCGCAAUGGGCGAAAGCCUGACGCAGCCAUGCCGCGUGAAUAAUGAAGGUCUUAGGAUUGUAAAAUUCUUUCAGCGGGGACGAUAAUGACGGUACCCGCAGAAGAAGCUCCGGCUAACUUCGUG